CAGCAGCCGCGGGAAUACGAAGGGUGCAAGCGUUAAUCGGAAUUACUGGGCGUAAAGCGUGCGUAGGCGGUUUGUUAAGUCUGCUGUGAAAUCCCCGGGCUCAACCUGGGAAUGGCAGUGGAUACUGGCAAGCUAGAGUGUGUCAGAGGAUGGUGGAAUUCCCGGUGUAGCGGUGAAAUGCGUAGAGAUCGGGAGGAACAUCAGUGGCGAAGGCGGCCAUCUGGGACAACACUGACGCUGAGGCACGAAAGCGUGGGGAGCAAACAGGAUUAGAUACCCCUGUAGUCCCUGUCUCUUAUAC
rnacentral:rRNA from 1 species